CUUAACAGAAAAUUAAGUUUAAAACUAUAAAAUUGAAAUACAACACUGAUAGAAGUAAUUUCUUGUUUACAGGUAUCAGCUAUUAGAAUGGAGCAUGUGGAUGAUUUGUUGACAUUAUGCAAACAGCAUGGAAUAGCAGUCAUUCAUCUGUAGUACUGUUUUAAGCAUGAAGAUUCAGACUCCCAUCUUUUUAGGAGAUAGCACAGGCCAGCCAGUUCAGGAAAGAAUUCAAUGCUUUGCAGAUGGAUGGAUGUUAAAAUGUGUGCAAAUGAAAUGUACAGUGCAGUCUCCGAGAAGCCGAUCAGUUUGUGUAUUCUGUAUAUACUGCUUCAGUGCAUGCUGAAGGCUGAAUCUAUAGGUUGAAUAGAAUUGAUUUUCAUAGAAGCAAUGUUUUACUGCUGUUUUUCUUGUGGUGAUUCUUCUAGCUUUGUUUAGAGAUCUUCAUAGAAAAUAUUUGAUUAAUAAAGAGCCGUGCAAUAUCA
rnacentral:lncRNA from 1 species